GGGUUAGUAGGUUGGUCAUGCCUCUGGUAUGCACUGGUCUCACUGAUUCCUCCUUCCUGAUGAGCUGUAAUGCCAUUAAUUUGGUGUUGCGGGGAAUUUGGACUGUUACUUUGAAAAAAUUAGAGUGUUUAAAGCAAGCUAACGCUUGAAUACAUUAGCAUGGAAUAAUGAAAUAGGACGUUCGAUCCUAUUUUGUUGGUUUCUAGGGUCUUAGUA
rnacentral:rRNA from 1 species